rnacentral:rRNA from 1 species
AACGAACGCUGGCGGCAUGCCUAACACAUGCAAGUCGAACGAGACCUUCGGGUCUAGUGGCGCAAGGGUGCGUAACGCGUGGGAACCUGCCCUUAGGUUCGGAACAACUCCCCGAAAGGGGUGCUAAUACCGGAUAAUGUCUUCGGACCAAAGAUUUAUCGCCUUUGGAUGGGCCCGCGUUGGAUUAGCUAGUUGGUAGGGUAAAAGCCUACCAAGGCGACGAUCCAUAGCUGGUCUGAGAGGAUGAUCAGCCACACUGGGACUGAGACACGGCCCAGACUCCUACGGGAGGCAGCAGUGGGGAAUAUUGGACAAUGGGCGAAAGCCUGAUCCAGCAAUGCCGCGUGAGUGAUGAAGGCCUUAGGGUUGUAAAGCUCUUUUACCCGGGAUGAUAAUGACAGUACCGGGAGAAUAAGCUCCGGCUAACUCCGUG